rnacentral:rRNA from 1 species
GAUGAACGCUAGCUACAGGCUUAACACAUGCAAGUCGAGGGGCAGCACAGUGUAGCAAUACAUGGGUGGCGACCGGCGCACGGGUGCGUAACGCGUAUCCAACCUUCCCGUUACUCAGGGAUAGCCUUCCGAAAGGGAGAUUAAUACCUGAUGGUGUUCAAAUUCCGCAUGUUAUUCGAACUAAAGAUUUAUCGGUAUCGGAUGGGGAUGCGUGACAUUAGAUAGUAGGCGGGGUAACGGCCCACCUAGUCUACGAUGUCUAGGGGUUCUGAGAGGAAGGUCCCGCACACUGGAACAGAGACACGGUCCAGAACCCUACGGGAGGCAGCAGUGAGGAAUAUUGGUCAAUGGUCGGAAGAUUUAAACAGCCAAGUAGCGUGAAGGAUGAAGGUUCUAUGGAUUGUAAACUUCUUUUAUACGGGAAUAAAACCUCCCACGUGUGGGAGCUUGUAUGUACCGUAUGAAUAAGCAUCGGCUAACUCCGUGCCAGCCGCCGCAGUAAGAC